UGCACAUGAUGUUUUAUCUCACGAUGGUCUUCCAAGUUUCACUGAAGCUUUGACGACACUGCCAAAUGGCUUUGCUGAUGCAUAUGC